AAUGAACGCUAGCGAUAGGCUUAACACAUGCAAGUUGAACGUUUUUUUUUUAGAAAAAACGUAGCGAACGGGUGAGUAACGCGUAAGAAUCUACCUCACAAUUCAUGAAAACACAAUACUGUGCAAAUCGUGGAUACUCAAAGAAAGGUAUAAUGCCGUUGUGAGAUGAGCUUGCGUAGGAUUAGGUUGUUGGUAGGGUAAAAGCCUACCAAGCCGAAGAUCCUUAGCUGAUUUGAGAGAAUGAUCAGCCACACUGGGACUGAGACACGGCCCAGACGCUUUCGAGCGGCAGCAGUGAGGAAUUUUGGACAAUGGGCGAAAGCCUGAUCCAGCCAUAUCGCGUGAGUGAUGAAAACUGUAUUGGUUGUAAAACUCUUUAUUUGAAUCUGUUUUCACAGGAGUUGGCUUUUUUUCUUCUCGUUGGUGGUUCAUCAUGAACCAUCACAGAAAAAGAACCAAUUAAAGAUUAUGACAAAGUUCAAAAAAAAAGUCCCGGCUAAUCUCGUGCCAGCCGCCGCCG
rnacentral:rRNA from 1 species